rnacentral:antisense_RNA from 1 species
CUUGAGGGAGCCGAGCCAGAGCGGUUCGGUACGGCCCUGUCCGUACGUGGCCAGCAGCGCUUGCGCCUC